rnacentral:rRNA from 1 species
UACGUAGGGUGCAAGCGUUGUCCGGAAUUAUUGGGCGUAAAGAGCGUGUAGGCGGCUUGAUUAGUCUGCUGUGAAAGUCCAGGGCUCAACCCUGGAAUGCCGGUGGAUACUGUCAAGCUAGAGUCCGGAAGGGGCGAGUGGAAUUCCUGGUGUAGCGGUGAAAUGCGCAGAUAUCAGGAGGAACACCAAUGGCGAAGGCAGCUCGCUGGGACGUGACUGACGCUGAGGUGCGAAAGCGUGGGGAGCAAACAGG